rnacentral:rRNA from 1 species
GUUGUAUAGUCAAGUAAUUAAGUGCAUGUGGUGGAUGCCUUGGCAGUCAGAGGCGAUGAAAGACGUGAUAGCCUGCGAAAAGCUCCGGGGAGGCGGCAAAUAUCCUUUGAUCCGGAGAUGUCUGAAUGGGGGAACCCACCUACUUUAAGGUAGGUAUUGCAACAUGAAUACAUAGUGUUGCAAGGCGAACGAGGGGAAGUGAAACAUCUCAGUACCCUUAGGAAAAGAAAUCAAUUGAGAUUCCCUCAGUAGCGGCGAGCGAACGGGGAUCAGCCCAUUAAGUUAUGUGUGUUUUAGUGGAACGCUCUGGGAAGUGCGAACGUAGAGGGUGAUAUUCCCGUACACGAAAGGGCACACAUAAUGAUGACGAGUAGGGCGAGGCACGUGAAACCUUGUCUGAAUAUGGGGGGACCAUCCUCCAAGGCUAAAUACUCCUGACUGACCGAUAGUGAACCAGUACCGUGAGGGAAAGGCGAAAAGAACCCCUGUGAGGGGAGUGAAAUAGAUCCUGAAACCGCAUGCAUACAAGCAGUGGGAGCACCUUCGUGGUGUGACUGCGUACCUUUUGUAUAAUGGGUCAGCGACUUAUAUUCAGUAGCGAGGUUAACCGUAUAGGGGAGCCGUAGAGAAAUCGAGUCUUAAUAGGGCGUUUAGUUGCUGGGUAUAGACCCGAAACCAGGCGAUCUAUCCAUGAGCAGGUUGAAGGUUGGGUAACACUAACUGGAGGACCGAACCCACUGUCGUUGAAAAGCCAGGGGAUGACUUGUGGAUAGGGGUGAAAGGCUAAUCAAGCCUGGUGAUAGCUGGUUCUCCCCGAAAGCUAUUUAGGUAGCGCCUCGGACGAAUACCAUAGGGGGUAGAGCACUGUUUCGGCUAGGGGGUCAUCCCGACUUACCAAACCGAUGCAAACUCCGAAUACCUAUGAGUACUAUCCGGGAGACAGACUGCGGGUGCUAACGUCCGUAGUCAAGAGGAAAACAAUCCAGACCGCCAGCUAAGGCCCCAAAAUCAUAGUUAAGUGGGAAACGAUGUGGGAAGGCAUAGACAGCUAGGAGGUUGGCUUAGAAGCAGCCACCCUUUAAAGAAAGCGUAAUAGCUCACUAGUCGAGUCGGCCUGCGCGGAAGAUGUAACGGGGCUAAAACUAUGUGCCGAAGCUGCGGAUNNNNNNNAUGCUGGAGGUAUCAGAAGUGCGAAUGCUGACGUGAGUAACGACAAAACGGGUGAAAAACCCGUUCGCCGAAAGACCAAGGGUUCCAGUCCAACGUUAAUCGGGGCUGGGUGAGUCGACCCCUAAGGCGAGGCCGAAAGGCGUAGUCGAUGGGAAAAUGGUUAAUAUUCCAUUACUUCUGUGUAAUGCGAUGAGAGGACGGAGAAGGCUAAAUCAGCCUGGCGUUGGUUGUCCAGGUGAAAGGAUGUAGGCAUGUAUCUUAGGCAAAUCCGGGGUACUCUAUGCUGAGAUCUGAUAGCAAGCUGUACUUGUACAGCGAAGUGGUUGAUGCCAUGCUUCCAGGAAAAGUCUCUAAGCUUCAGUUACACAGGAAUCGUACCCGAAACCGACACAGGUGGUCAGGUCGAGUAGACCAAGGCGCUUGAGAGAACUCUGCUGAAGGAACUAGGCAAAAUGGUACCGUAACUUCGGGAGAAGGUACGCUGUUGUUGGUGAUGGAACUCGCUUCCUGAGCUGACGACAGCCGCAGAAACCAGGCCGCUGCAACUGUUUAUUAAAAACAUAGCACUCUGCAAACACGAAAGUGGACGUAUAGGGUGUGAUGCCUGCCCGGUGCUGGAAGGUUAAUUGAUGGGGUUAGCGUAAGCGAAGCUCUUGAUCGAAGCCCCAGUAAACGGCGGCCGUAACUAUAACGGUCCUAAGGUAGCGAAAUUCCUUGUCGGGUAAGUUCCGACCUGCACGAAUGGCAUAAUGAUGGCGGCGCUGUCUCCAGCAGAGGCUCAGUGAAAUCGAAAUCGCUGUGAAGAUGCAGUGUACCCGCGGCUAGACGGAAAGACCCCGUGAACCUUUACUGCAGCUUGACACUGAACUUUGACCUUACUUGUGUAGGAUAGGUGGGAGGCUUUGAAGCUGGAACGCUAGUUCCAGUGGAGCCGUCCUUGAAAUACCACCCUGGUAAUGUUGAGGUUCUAACUCUGUCCCGUGAUCCGGGACGAGGACCGUGUCUGGUGGGUAGUUUGACUGGGGCGGUCUCCUCCUAAAGAGUAACGGAGGAGUACGAAGGUGCGCUCAGCGUGGUCGGAAAUCACGCGUAGAGUAUAAAGGCAAAAGCGCGCUUAACUGCGAGACCCACAAGUCGAGCAGGUACGAAAGUAGGUCUUAGUGAUCCGGUGGUUCUGUAUGGAAGGGCCAUCGCUCAACGGAUAAAAGGUACUCUGGGGAUAACAGGCUGAUACCGCCCAAGAGUUCAUAUCGACGGCGGUGUUUGGCACCUCGAUGUCGGCUCAUCUCAUCCUGGGGCUGAAGCAGGUCCCAAGGGUAUGGCUGUUCGCCAUUUAAAGAGGUACGCGAGCUGGGUUUAGAACGUCGUGAGACAGUUCGGUCCCUAUCUACCGUGGGCGCUGGAAAUUUGAGAGGAUCUGCUCCUAGUACGAGAGGACCAGAGUGGACGAACCUCUGGUGUACCGGUUGUGACGCCAGUCGCAUCGCCGGGUAGCUAUGUUCGGAAGGGAUAACCGCUGAAAGCAUCUAAGCGGGAAGCCUACCUCAAGAUAAGAUUUCCCUAGGACUUUAUGUCCUCUAAAGAGCCGUUCGAGACUAGGACGUUGAUAGGUUGGAUGUGGAAGCAUAGUGAUAUGUGAAGCUGACCAAUACUAAUUGCUCGUGAGGCUUGACUAUACAACACCCAAGCAGUUG